ensembl:snRNA U6 U6 spliceosomal RNA
GUUCUCGCUUGGCAGCAUACAUGCUAACAUUGGAACGAUAUGGAAAAGAUUAGCAUGGUCCCUGCACAAGGAUGACAUGCAAAUCCAUGAAGGGUUCCAUUUCUAA